rnacentral:lncRNA from 1 species
UUUUUCUUCUUCUUCUGUUUUUUUUUGCAGGGGCCUAAACCCUUUUUUUUUCACUAUGACAACCCAAACAAUAAAGAUAUUGCUAACAACCCCUUUAAAUCAGAUUUAACAAAUCUUGUUAAUAUAGGAAGUCCAGAAAUCUCUACGAUGAUUGCGGAGCGCUCAGAAUGAAUUUUGAGAUAAGGUCAGAUCCGUUGGAAAGAAGAUAAGAUAAGCUUUCCAGAUUGUAUUUAAACUUCCAAAUCGGAUAUGAUAUGUAUCCGUGGUGGCAAAAACGAACCAGAGAUGUUUUUGGUGAUGGUGGAUUUCGUGGUGACCAAAACGUGGUAGAACUCAAAACUCUAAAGGAAUAAACUAAGACCAGCAACUCGACACAACCGAUGCAACCAAAAACUCAACAAGCCCUAACUAAGUAGUACUAGUAAAUGCUCAAUGGUUUAUAGGAUUGCGGUAAAACUAAUCUACUAUUUUUUGGCUUUUUCUGGACUAUAGGAGAUAAGAAAACAGCGAAGAAAAGUAAAUCUCUCACCGAUAAACCUUGCUCUGAUACCAACUGAUGUGCACCCGUUGGGUGAUUGCCCGAUCUUUCGAUGAGAGGGUGUGGAAUAACUCGAUUGGGGGAGGAGACGACGUUCACGGCCCGACUACAGCCUUCCAAAGACGCUGCGCCUUAGCAACCGAUACACCACCUCCUAUGGCUGUCACGAUCUUGUGGAGCGUGACACCCUGGCCACUAGGGCACUCGUCCUGCAAGCAAUCGAAGAACUAGCAAGAACAAGUAGAACAAGUACUGAAUUACCAGAUCUAAAUGUAGGUUUAAAGAUCAAACUACAAUAUGGUGGGGUUCCGAAGACAAGAAGACGGGCGGCUGAACUAGCACGCGCGCUUGCAAGCAAGUAGCGAGAGCUAAACUUGAUCUAAACAAAACCCGCUGUUCUUGGUGGCGGCUAGGGGGUUUAUAAACAUGGGAGGACGACCACAAGGGUAUUGGGGUCGUGCUGCAACCCUAGGAUGCGUCCCUAAUGGACCUAACUUGAUACACGACCCAUUGGGCCAAAAUAGGGUGACGCAGCACCAUGGGCAGAAAAGGCAGGAAAUGUCUCGGUAAGAAAACAAUGAUUACGGCGGCCUCAGAACAGAUAUGACUAUAAUUCCGGAUCCAUAUGAAAGUAGACUUGAUAAGCUUUCCAUGUUGUGCUUGAACAUUCCAAUCCGAGCCCGCAUCUGACCGUGGUGACCGUCACAAGUUGGUGUUCUUCUGCAGUCCGAAUCCAGCAUGUUCAAAUCCUUUUCCCUUUCGGUCUUCUCCCUGAUUCCUAAGCAAAACAAGAGUGCACGGGUCUCCAUGGUCUAAAUAUGAUGGACAUGAACUCAAGAGUGUAAUCACCUGAUGGUUGAGUUGACGAGCACGAGCGCGAGUAAUGGGACCAGAAAUUGGUACUUGUAUUGGUAUAGAUGCAUCAGUAGUGUGGAUGUCUUCAUCACCUUGAGUCGGAAGUUGCAAUGCAAUUGUAUUCUGAUGGAUUCUCGCAUUAACACCUUGUGUGAUGAGUUAGCAAGAUGCAAAUUGAAGUGAUUCCUUCUGGUUCUUUGUCUCACAUUUCUGUUGAGCCAGCUUUGCAAGACCAGAUUAUCAUGGCCCAGCUCAGUGACAAGGGAGUGCAGAUUAUCAAGAAGAAUCUCCAUCAGAAGGUUCAGAAGUAUAAUUGUUUCCGCCAGGAUGAAAAGGGUGUGUUAUGGUUCAAAAGCAGAUUGGUGAUUCCUAAAGACCAGGACCUCAAGAGGAAAAUCUUGGAUGAGGCUCAUCUCUCCAAAUUCUCUAUGCAUCCGGGAAGCACCAAGAUGUACCAUGAUCUGAAGCCUUUGUACUGGUGGACCAGAAUGAAGAGGGAGAUUGCCCAGUAUGUAUCAGAAUGUGACACCUGUCAGAGGAUAAAGGCAAGCCACUUGAAGUCAGCUGGAGCUUUGCAACCCCUGUCCAUACCUUCGUGGAAGUGGGAUGACAUCAGCAUGGAUUUCAUUGUGGGUCUGCCCAACACCUCUCGUCAUCAUGAUUCAAUUUGGGUAAUUGUGGACCGAUUGACGAAAGUGGCACAUUUUCUUCCUGUGCACACAACUGAUAAGGCUCAGAAGUAUGCAUAAUUGUAUAUUGACCGGAUCGUGUGUUUGCACGGAUUACCUCGGACCAUUGUUUCUGACCGAGGAGCCCAAUUCGUUGCCAGAUUUUGGGAACAAUUGCAAGAGUCUUUGGGAACCAAGCUAAUCAGGAGUUCAGCUUACCACCCACAGACUGAUGGUUAGACGGAAAGGGUAAACCAAAUCCUGGAGGAUAUGCUAAGAGCUUGUGCGAUCGAUUGUGGCAAGAACUGGGAUAAGCACCUCUCCUUGGCAGAGUUUGCUUAUAACAAUAGUUAUCAAUCCAGCCUAAAGAUGGCACCUUUUGAAGCUCUCUAUGGAAGAAGGUGCAGGACACCGCUCAAUUGGUCUCAACCUGGAGAAAGAGAAGUUUUUGGACCUGACUUAGUGACUGAAGCCGAAAGGAAGGUCAAACUAAUCAGGAAGAAUCUAGAAGCUGCUCAGGCCAGGCAGAAGAGUUACCAUGAUAGAAGAAGGAAACCUCUCCGGUUCGAGGUGGGAAGUUUUGUAUACCUCAAGGUAUCACCCAGCAAGGGAGUGCAGAGGUUUGGGAUUAAAGGCAAGCUAGCCCCUUGUUACAUUGGACCUUAUGAGAUCAUAAAAGCAUGUGGACCCGUGGCAUACAAGCUGAAGUUACCUUCGAAGAUGUCUGCCAUUCACAGUGUUUUCCAUGUAUCUCAGCUGAAGAAGUGUGUUCGAUUGCCGACCGAGACCAUAGCAGAGCCAGAAUUGGAGAUAGAGCCAGAUCUAUCAUACCAGGAGUACCCCUCCAAGAUUCUGGAUUGCAAAGAAAGAUCAACUCGGGCUAAAUCGAUCAAGAUGUACAAGGUCCAGUGGAGUAAUCACUCAGAGGAGGAAGCUACUUGGGAAACCGAGGAAUUCUUGAGAUCCAACUUCCCCGAUUGCCUACCUAAGAAAGCUGGUACGUAAUCACCCCCAACCCCUCCUCCUGCCCUUCGAAUCUAAUUUCCAAAAAUAUGAUCUUAAUUCAGAAUGAAGUAACUAUGAAGUAAAACUUAAAAAGGGCUUCCUUCUGAAGUUGCAAAGAGAAUGACAUUCGAAGAGCAGUUUUACCCUAAUAAUAUCAAUAAUCACCCAUUUCCUAUAAGUCUCACCCUUCGCUUCACCCCGGGAGGACUCUGGCCUGAAUCUCGGGACGAGAUUCCUUUAAGGGGGAAGGCUGUGACACCCCAGUGUCACCUAGGGUUUCUCUCAAAAUGCCAAACCAAGAACCAUCAUUUUAUGUGAACCAAAGUAAGCAUGAGCAUCAAAUUAACUUAAGUAAGAAGGAAUUCACCAAGCAUAUACUUAAAAGUAUCAUGAUCAAAACAAUUGAGUCUUUCAAAAGGUAAUAAUGUUGCAACCCUAAUAAAAACCCUAAGUAAGCCCCAUGAGCAAAAUUCAAGAAAAUAAGGAAAAGGGUAUGAAAAAUUUAAAAUUAUGACUUGAGCCAAUUGUAAAAAUUAAAGUAUAUUUAAUAAUCAACAAGAAAGUUUGAGAAAGCUUAGCCAAAAUAACUCAAAUAAAUUCCCAAAUCAGCCCUUGAACUAUGAACCCUUGGAGAAAUUCAGAUUUCUGAAUUUCUGAAAUUCAGACCUCUUUCCAAAGAUCAACUGCGUUCUCUGUUUUUCGAAACUCAAAACUAGGAGAUCCAAAUAUCAAAGUUGUGCCAAAUUCCCUUGAACACGUCCUGGAAAAGUUUGAACUCAAACCAAAUUCAUUUGACACGGUUUUGGCGCAGUUUGACCUCGGGACCAGACAUUUUGACACUGGCACCUUGGUGACGCUACAACUCCCUGUCCCUAGCCUAAAACCGCGCGACGUCCAUACACAAAAGACAAAGCAUGGUCAGGUGAACAAAUCCUUCACAGCGAUCUUGCCCAAAUUCGUGAAGAUUUGCACCCAACCAGCGCUUGAACAUGGGCAGAGGCAACGGGAACACGUGUUCGACCGUGGCUGACACCCCCGGUUCACGCCCGUUCGCGCACCGCGCCUCCCAGUGCACGCCCGCGCGCGCUCGUCGGUCCACGACCGCCCGUGGACCACGCCGUGCCUAUAAAGCCUCCCCAGGCGCGCCCCACUUCACCCAGCGCUCACCUUCACCGGCCAGCCACCUCCCCUUAGCUCCGGCGAGAUCAAUUCCGCCCGCCAUUGCCACCAGAGCUUCGGCCACCGUGGCCAGCCCACUCCAGCCACCCCCGAGUCGAGCCAGUGCUUCGGCUAGCUCCGCCAGUAGCCCAUGAAGCUUGCCAAGCCCUUGGACCAGGCCGGACUUCACCGGAAGCCCGAGAUCGACCUCACCGGACUUCGGUCUUUCGCCGCAGCGCGUGGACAGAGCUAACCGGUGAGUCUCCAUCCAAUUCCUUGCACCCAUAUCUUCUCUGGCAUCCCGUGAACCUCUCUGACCUGUCCAAUUGAUCUAUCUCGCCGUGAGCAGGCCGGACUCCUCACCGCCGACGAGCAUCCCCGCCUGCGCACGUGGACCGACCGACUCUGGCCAUCUCCGACGGCGACCCGCACACCGUUGUGAUCCCCGAGACCUCCCCUACGUCCUCGACCACUUCACCGGAGCCAUCUCGCCGCCUGUAAGCCCCUCCGCCCUUUCUUCCGCCGCGGUUACUGUUUAAGUUAGGAGAAGGACCUCGGGUUAGGAUUUGUAGAACCCGAGGGGUUUUCUGUAACGUCAGUGACUCAUGUGAAUAGUAGCCUAAGGACUGAUCCGCGAAGAAAACUUAGAAUACCCGCCAGGGACCCCAGUGCAAAGUGGAUUUCCAUUUAAUCAAUUCUGUUAAUCUUUUUAAAAUGACCAGAGAACUUAGAAAACCCAUAACUUAAUGAAUACUUAAUAAAAAGUUGUCAAACUAAUUUUGCUAGCUCCUGAUUAUUAUGAACUAUCAUUUAAAAAUGAUAAACCCUAUGCUUUCUGUUCUAAAUUUUAGAGUUUAAAAUUAAAAACAGAAACUUACCAAACCUAGUUUAAUUAAGGAAAAUUAGUUUUUCUUCUAUGCUGAACUUAAGAAAAUUUGUAGAUGUUCAAACCUCAUUUAGACACUGUUUAAAAAUAGUAGGAACCCCAGCAUUGGAAAAUAUGAUGUAGAUAUUCAAUUAAAGCUAUUUUGCCCAAAACUUAGGAAAAAUCAGAAAGGCAUUAGAAACUAAUGAACAGUAAUUAAAAUUAUUUUUCCUAGUUUACUUAUGUAACAGAGAACCUAGGAAAAAUACAGAGACUAUUAGUUCAUACGUGUUUUAAAUUAAAAUGUUUUAUUUAGCCUUAUUUGGACUGAAAAUUAAUUAUUAGAGUUACAAAACUAUAACCAAAAUGAGUAAUAAAAAUCCAGUGGACUUACAACCACCAGAGCCCCACUACAAAAAUAAAGAACACCUCAGCCCAACUUUUUAAGUAAGGAAAAUAAAUAUAAAGUGAUAAUGAGGCAUUUUCCAAGUAAAUCAUGAACAACCCCUAAUAAUGUGAUAAUGGGCAACCAAAAAUUAGCUAAGUCCAUAGUGAGAUAAACCACCAGAGAAAAAUGCAAACCCAUGAAAAAGAAGCAAACUCUUACCUAUUGCUAAUGAUUUAAGAGAAGGGCCACUAAAUUCAAUUAAUACAUACCACCCCUUCCCUUAAGCAAAAAGAGACCAAACUUCAGAAUGAUUGCUCUUGCACAAAAUAAUAACCAAGAAAAAUAAGAACUCUGUUGUUUGAUAUUUUUCAAAUAUAGUGGUAGUAGAAAGCACCCACUUUGCUAAAAACUUGAGAAAACCAUAGAAAAAUAAUUAAAAGGUAUUAAUGACUAGAAAUUUUGUAUCAAGUCAUGUUAUAACACCUAAAAGCCAGCAAAAAAUAAGUUUUAGAGAUUUACCCACGGUUAAAUAAUAGUUGUAGUUCAAAGCACCCCUUCUGCCCUAGAAUUUAAUAAUUUUGUCCAGAGAAAACUAUUCACUUUCUGAUCCCCAAAUUUUGAGACAGAGAAACAUACACCAGUACCAAGCCACUGUAAUUUUUGCAGAAGUUUUGGAAUUUUAUAAAAGCAACUUGUAGUUCAAACCCACUCCAAAACCUUUAGGAGAAUAAAAGAAAAAAGAAAGAAGAAAUAAACCUCACUCCAAUAAGUCUAACUUGAAUACUUAUCAAUUCUCCCUAAGAUUUAGAAAGAAUUCAGUGGAACCCCAAAAAUAAACCUCCCACUUACCUUAGCUAAAGUUUGACCCAAUUUACCAAGUAUACCACCCAAAGGUCUCACAUAAGUAAAGUCGACCUUGUUUAACUCAAGUAGAUCAUACACCUUCAAAGUUGUAAUUUCUAAAAGCACAUAUCAUAUCAUGCAUAUAUCUUACGCAUUGCAUUUAUUAGAUUGUAAUCUUGCCGACGGAGAGUUCGUGCUCAUCCCCGAGCAAGGACCUGUCCAAGAGGAGGACCAGGAGCAGGCUUCAGAGGCUGCUAUUGAGAAUCUCCCCGCAGCCCCAGCAAUUGAAGGCAAGCCCCGGUUUUAUGCAUAACCGUAUUAUUAUAUGCUACUUUACUACACUUAAUGCUUGUAGGAUUGUAAUGUACACUUAAGUGUAGGAGUUGCUUGAAACCUCUAGUUGCAUGAACUUAGGAUUCCUUUUUGAGAUGAAUACUAGUAUGCUAGGUCGAGUAGCUGCUUGCUAAUCAGGAUCUCGGUAGAAGUCGAGUGAUUUUUCUAGCACUCGCGCGAGGUCAGGAAUUGAUUGUAUUCAUCUUGACAAUGGGAUAUAUGUUAGUCUAUGGACUUGGAUCCAGGGAGGAUGCCUUGCCCAUGAGACAGGAAAAAGGAAUUAAGGAUUAAUGUGUGGAUACCUGAGUCAAGCUUUUGAACGUACUAAGCACAUGCCGGGAAAAAUGGUAACCGGUAAACCUAGUACCUGAGUGAAGCCGGGCGCGGACUUUAUCCCUCAUGCGACCUGAAACUGGGUCUCCCAUGCUAGCUAUGGUGGGUACAAGUGCGGUCACUGCACGGCGGCAGCCGGGGUCAGUGGAGCAUUGUAUGCCAAGGCGGUGAGGCCUAGACGCGAACGAGGAAUCGAUGGGGACGGUUGUCAUGUGUGGGGUCGGAGUACCCUGACAUGCCGUGUGUUUAGGUUUACCUUGCAAGGUUAAAACUCGAUUCGAAUUGUCUGCUUCUCGCAGCUAAUGAGACUGCUUGACCCCUUGUACUGCAUCGAGUAAGAAGUGAAAUGUGGUUACAUGAGAUAACUUGUUGAUUGAACUUAAUGAUUGUUACCAUGUAUGCUUAGAAGGAGCAGAUCUAGCUAAGUUAAUGAUGAUAGAAAUUGAAAAGCUAAAAAUUGAUUUUAGAAACAGCUAGUGCUUUUGGCAAACCAAACCCCUUAGCCAAACAGCUGCAUAGUCUAGAGUAGAGGAGUAGACUUCUCACACCGGUUAAGUCUAGCUGAGUAUUAGUAUACUCAGCCUUGCUUGUGGCACAAUUUUUGCAGGUACCAUUCAGGAAAUGGUUGAUGGCGUGACUUGGCCUACCACCCUGCCACCGGGUUGGACGGUCGAGUGGGAUGUUGCUCCGGCAGGAGAGGAGCAUGAGGAGUAGUGGGCUAGGCCUUGCCCAUUUCCUCAUUACCGACGACAUCAAUUAUCCGCUGCACUUUAUUUUGUGAACUCUUAUUUACUACUCAAAAACUCCGAUUUAUGUAAUAACUCAGUACUUAAUUUGAGGUUUCCUGUUUUAUUGUAUUUCUUCUAUGACUCACCUUCGAGUGAGAUUGUGGAAUUUGAUCCUGGUUAAGUGGCUCUAUCAGACUAGAUCUGAAGGACUGACGGGUUAUUCCGAUUUAAGUGUGUUACAGCCCCUGAGGCGUGACUUAGGCACUUAAGCUGGAAUAAUUCGGGUGGUUCUGCCACAGGAAUCUCCACAACUUGGAGCCUCACGCCCUUACAAUUGAUCAUAAAGAAGCACGAAAGUAAGGGAGGGGAGAGCAACGCACACAAGACUCAAAACGAGAGCACAAUCACACACACAAGUCACAACUUGAGCUCUAAGUUCAACACACAGAGUUCUCAACUCAAGAGGAGCUCAAAUUGCUAGCACAGAGAAUCAAAUGCGUGGGAGUGGAGUCUGUAUGCUUAGGAAUGAUCAAAGAAUGCUUGGAUCCUUCCUCCAUGCGCCUAGGGGACCCUUUUAUAUCCCCAAGGCAGCUAGGAGCCGUUGAAGGCAUUCUUGGAAGGCUAAUCUUGCCUUCUGUCGGGUGGCGCACCGGACAGUCCGGUGUUCCACCGGACAGCCACUGUUCAUGUCCAGUGCGCGAUUUCCUUCCAUUCCUGGCGCAGCUGAUCGUUGCAACUUUGGGCUGGUUGGUGCACCGGACACUGUCCGGUGCACACCGGACAAUCCGGUGCCCCCAGCCGACCGUUGGAGCGAGCCACACGUCGCCCACAGAUUUGGCGGCCGACCGUUGUGCUGGCGGCCGUUGGCUCACCGGACAGUCCGGUGCACCAUCGGACAGUCCGGUGAAUUAUAGCCGUACACCCCCGAAGUUUUCUCGAGAGCGGCCAGUUCGUCGGAAGCCAGUAUGGCACACCGGACACUGUCCGGUGCACCACCGGACAGUCCGGUGCACCCAGACCAAGCAGCAGUUGGCUGUACACAGCCAACUCUUUUCCAAUCAUUUUCUUUUCCUGUUUCUAGCACUUAGGUAACUUCAUUAGUACCCAAAACAAAUGUACUUAGUCUAGAAACAUACCUUCUUGUUGAUUUGCACUUCAUUCAUCAUUUGGCAUAUAAUAACCCACUUAAUAUGUGUUGGACACUUAAUCACCAAAAUAUACUUGAAAUGGCCCAAGGGCACAUUUCCCUUUCAAUCUUUAAAAUCAGCAUCAUGAACAUAUUGGUCUUUAAUUGUCUCUAAUCCAAAGAUUUUGUAGUUAAGUUGAUUAAGCAAAGUAUAUCUCCUAGACAAAGCAUCAGCAAUGAUAUACUCUUUUCCUUUCUUGUGCUUAAUACCAUAAAGAAAAGAUUCGAUAAAUUCAACCCACUUAGCAUGUCUACGGUUCAGUUUUCCUUGACUACGAAUAUGUUUCAAAGAUUCAUGAUCAGAAUGAAUAACAAACUCUUUGGGCCACAAAUAAUGCUGCCAUGUUUCUAAUGUUCGCACAAGAGCAUAUAAUUCCUUAUCAUAAGUAGAAUAAUUUAGAACAGACCCACUCAAUUUUUCACUAAAAUAUGCAACAGGUUUGCCUUCUUGUAACAAAACACCACCCAAUCCAAUUCCACUAGCAUCACAUUCAAGCUCAAAAGUCUUAUUAAAAUCAGGAAGUUGGAGGAGAGGUGCAUGUGUCAACUUAUCUUUUAGCACGUUGAAAGAGUGCUCUUGUACUUUGCCCCAACUAAAAUGCACUCCCUUCUUCGUAAGGUCAUUCAAAGGUGCAGCAAUGGUACUAAAGUCCUUCACAAAACGGCGAUAGAAGCCGGCAAGUCCUAGGAAACUCCGCACCUGUGUGAUAGUCUUUGGCAUAGGCCAUCCAUGUAUCACUUCUACCUUGGCUUGAUCAACCUCAAUUCCCUGUGGAGUCACAACAUAACCAAGAAACGACACUCGAUCGGUGCAAAAUGUGCACUUCUCAAGGUUACCAAAUAAACGUGCAUCUCGUAAAGCAUUAAAAACAACACGCAUGUGAUCAACAUGUUCAUCCAUAGAUUUGCUGUAGAUCAAUAUGUCAUCAAAGUAUACUACCACAAAUUUUCCAAUGAAGGCACGCAAAACCUCGUUCAUUAAUCUCAUAAAGUGCUAGGUGCAUUAGUUAACCCGAAAGGCAUGACUAACCACUCAUACAACCCGAACUUAGUUUUGAAAGCAGUUUUCCAUUCAUCUCCCAAUUUCAUACGAAUCUGGUGGUACCCACUACGCAAAUCAACUUUAGAAAAGACAAUGGCACCACUCAAUUCAUCAAGCAUAUCAUCUAAACGUGGAAUAGGGUGUCGAUACUGUAUCGUGAUAUUAUUAAUAGCCCUACAAUCAACACACAUAUGCCAUGUUCCAUCUUUUUAGGCACUAAAAUAACCGGAACAGCACACGGACUAAGAGACUCACACACGUAACCUUUGUCGAGUAGUUUUUGCACUUGUCGCUGAAUUUCUUUUGUUUCCUCCGGAUUUGUCCUAUAUGGCGCACGAUUUGGCAAAGAUGCACCAGGAAUAAGAUCAAUUUGGUGGUCAAUCCCUCGUAUAGGUGGCAGCCCCUCUGGUAUCUCACUUGGAAAUACACCAGAAUACUCCUGCAAAAUGUUAGCAACAACAGGAGGCAAAGAAUGCUGCAUAUCUUGAAUUGAAAUCAAAGCAUCCUUGCAUACCAAGGCGUAGGCAACAGAAGUGGAAGGAAAUAAUUCAUUAACAUCAGAUUUCGUCACAAGCAAGCAAUGUCCUUUCAAUUUUAUCCCAUCUUUGUUAUUACCAACAACUUUAAUAUUCUUGUUGUUCUUAGUUUUAGCUUUGGUAGCUUUAGCAACAUCAUCACGCACAAUAGCCUCAGGGGACAUGGGAAGCAAAAUAAUUUUCUUAUCAUGGUGUAUGAGAGAAUAUUGAUUUGAUCUACCAUGAUGCAUACAAUCUGAAUCAAAUUGCCAUGGUCUACCUAGCAGAAUAUUACAAGCAUCCAUAGGCACAACGUCACAGUCAACAACAUCAUGAUAUGAACCAAUAGCAAAAUUAAUUCGUACUAGCUUGGUUACCUUGACCUUACCACUAUUGUUAAGCCAUUGAAUGUGAUAUGGAUGCAGAUGCGGUUUGGUCGUAAGUGCAAGCUUCCCCACCAUGUCGCUGCUAGCCAAGUUGUUGCAGCUACCUCCACCAAUGAUCAAACGACAUGAACGCUGCUUAAUGACACACUUUGUUUGAAACAACGUAUGUCGUUGAUUCUGCUCUGCCUUCUCCAUUUGUGCACUAAGCACAUGCUGUACAAUGAGGCUCUCAUAAUGCUCUGCAUCAUCUGCACCAAUCUGUUCUUCGGUUGGUUCCUUAGUGCCUGCAUCAUCAGCCGCAAGCAAAGCAGGUGUAGCUUCAUCCAAAUCACUAGCAGAGGAAUACCCACCAUCAUCUUUUACCACCAAAACACACUGAUUAGGACAAUCAUGCUGCACGUGUCCAUAGCCCUUGCAUCGAUAACAUAGAACAUCUCUUGUUCUACCCGUGGAGGCUACUGAAGUGGCACUACCUGCUGGUUUUUGGGCAGAUUUGGUUGCUGAAUUUGUGGAAGAUGCACGUGGUUUGUCGCCGGAGGAAGGUGGUGGUGCUGGUCGACUCGGUGAGGGAUGUAGUCGUGCGCUGUUGCCAUGGUGUAGAUUUUCCUGCAGAAACAUUAGACCUUGCACUAGCACAUCGUCCUGCACUUCCCUUGCAGCUUUGCAAGCAAGAUGAAACAAUCGGGUUACGUUAGCAUAAUCUUUAUAAGCAAGGAUGUCCUGAAUUUCCCUAUUUAACCCGCCCAAAAAUCUAGCCAUAGCAGAUUCCUCACCCUCCUCUAUGUUACAACGCAACAUACCCAUUUGUAAUUCCUAAUAAUGUUCUUCUACACUUUUAGUACCCUGUCUCAAUUGUUGCAACUUGUUUAACAUAUCACGUGCAUAAUAAGAAGGAACAAAUCUAGCCCGCAUGACCCGUUUCAACGCAUCCCAAGUUUGUGGCAUAUUAUUAGGAUUCUUCUUACCAUGUUCUAUCCACCAAACAGAAGCAAAUUCAGUAAACUUACUAGUAGCAGCUCUAACCCGCGCAUUCUUAGGAAAUUCAUGACAUGCGAACUUUUGAUCAACCGCAAUCUCCCAAGUAAUGUAAGCAUCAGGGUCAUAUUUACCAUCAAAAAGAGGUAUUUUAAAUUUAACCUUACUAAAAGCAUCAUCAUUACCAAGUACCUCAUGUUGGCGAAAACCACCCAUACCUCUGCGGUUAGUACGUAGUCGCCGGCGAUUAGGUGCUUCUUGGUCAUCUUGUUCAGUAUCAGCAACAUAGUCAUCCUAGUUACCUUCGGCGCCCUCAUCACGCCCACCAUUGGUAUUAGCAUGCAUCUCAUCAAAUCGCCUCAAGAGUGCGACAAGGCUCUUGUCAAUAUGAGCAACUGUCAUUUCCACAUUUGCAAGUUUGGUGUUUGUGUCGAUCUGUGUGGCCUCCAAUUGCCCCAUCUUUUCAUUCGUCACCUGCAAGUCAUUAUCAAGACCUUCCGUGUGCGUCUUCACCAGCCUUACAAAGUGCUGUAUGAUUGUAACACCCCGGGAUCCACAAACACCCCGGAAUGCUACUGAACUACACUUCUAACAUCCGUAUAUAAAAUUUCGGCAGCAUCUCCCUUGCAAAAUUGCAUAAAUGGGGGGGGGGCAACAGUGUAUAAACAUAUAUCAUGACAAAAAAACAUACUAAGUAAUAUUAAUCGGCUAGCAAUGAGAAGUUAAACAUACGACAAGAGCUGAAUUAACCAGCACGCACGACUAGUUAAGAAAAACAAACAUCCUUUGACACAAGUUUCUAAUUAUAUCCUGGUUGCGCCUGGCAGCAUUAUUAUGAGAGUGAAAGUGGACGUGCUACUACUCCCCUCAUUCCCAACAUGUAUCAAGUACCUGCAUUGAGUAAUGCAAGAGUGAGAUGACACAUCUCAGCAAGCAAAAUAAUAACAAACUGUUUAACCACAUAAGAACAUUGUUUUACCACCAUUUGAUUUUACAACCUCCUUAUUACGUAGGUGCAGCACGAAUACAAUGUACAACACACCUAGUUACCACACCUCGCAGGUAGAAACCACAAUAGUAACAUAGUAAUGUCACACUUCAUGUAUACCUCAUGAGUGCAAAUGUCUGCAAAUGCAAGGAUGACUUCUGCCUUCAUACCUCUAAGGAUAUGAAGCCGCAUCGUACCCCUCCUCGGGCAACGUACGAUGCUAAAAGUGUACCGGUACGGUCGGACCAUAAGAUCACGACAUAACUUCAAAAUGCAAGAUGGAUGAUGCGAUGUGCAUGUCAUGCCUACAACACUUCCUAUAACGUGAUUCAAAAAGAUACUUCAACUUUAUCCAAGAUGGGAAUCAACCACAUAUAUCAUUACCAAAUUAUGAUCAUCCAGAAUAUUAGACAAUUGAGAAUUAAUACUUCCAAACAAAUAAACUUCAUCAUAGAAUUCAAUGAUUAACAUAAUUAAAACUUAUGCAUACUCAAUGACAGGGAAUAGGAUGCAAACCAAACGGUAGCAACCACCACUGUAUUUACUUGCCUUUACCGGACGUUUGGGCAAAUCUCUAAGUACGAUCCGGAAGUCCACCACCUGUUUUUGACACACAACUUAGUGCACAAAUUUCACAUAAUCAGGCUCAUAAACGACGCCGCACCUACGCACAAACUCAAACCCCGCCGCGGGUUACAUCUCUCCCACACCCACCAAACUGCAGCGGCGCUGCUUAAUAAUUUCAUAACUUUAAAAUUAUGACAGCAGUGGUAACAAACAAAAACUCCAGAGGCAUCUACAUAAAAUUCCCCACAAGUUUUGUAUACAAUUUUUAAUUAAAUUCCAAAAACUAAUUAUCCCAAAACAGUCCACAAGAUGAACCCUGUAAUCUGUUUUUUGUCUUUUGGACAGCGACAUACCCGGAUUCAAACAGUGAUAUCUUUUAAAAUAUAAUUCCAAAUCAAGCUUAUAAGUACUCAUUGGAAAGAUAAGACAAAUCCAUACAUGAUUAUCAUACUGGUUAACACUAAUUACCCACGAAAAAUUCCCAGAAACUGCUAAUACUACUGCUGUUCACCCACCUGAAAAAUCUGUUUUUUUGGACAGCAACAUAACCGGAUUCAAACAACGAUAUCUCCUAAAUUAUAACUCUGAAUCGAGCGUAUAAGUACUCGUUGGAAAGGUAUGACAAAACUCUACAUGAUUCUCCCACUGAUCCCCACUAAUUACCCACGAAAAAUUCCCAGAAAUCCCUAGAACUACUGCUGUUCGCCCUCCCACAAAAAUUCUGGACAGCACCUCUACCGAUUCGCAUAGAUAAACAUAUAAUCAAUUGAAUUUUAGCGCAAAAACAUAGAUAACUUCAAGAUCACCUUGAGUUCCACCUUUUUCCUCCUUCCUUCCUCCCACCAAUUAUCCAAUUGAAACUUGCACCCACACGAAGAAGAUCCGACGAGGAAGAACGACACUUGGAGAAGAGGAGAUGGGGGGUGGCGGCUAGGGUUGAGGAGAUGGCUGCUGCAAAAAACUUGAGAAUGGAGAGGGGGCAGCUGCAACACUUGGGGAAGAGAGAAGAGGGAAGAAGGAAGAGGGUGACGGCCAAAGGAGGGAAAGGGGGAGGCGGCUGCCCUCAAGGGGCCUUAAGAGAGGGGGCGGCUAGGGUUUUGGGGGGGGGGGGGGAAAGUGGGCUUCCCACCGCCGGAUCACGAUCAACGGCCCAAAACCAUUCCUACGCCAGAGCUCUCGACCCCCGCGCACACAUCAAACAUAAAUUUUACUGUUUUACAGAUGUUUACCUCCUAAAAUUCCAAACCCCCCAUAGCACGGGACCCGCAAGAGAAAACAAAGAAAAAAAGAGUAAACUUCAAUUUCUCUUUUUUUUUGAAAAUUGGGUAUCACACUCUACCCCCUUAAAAAGAAUUCGACCUCGAAUUCCAAUGCUUCUAUCGGAACGACAAAGGAAAGAAUAAUGAACCAACAAAACUCACACAUAAAGAAAAGUUCGGGUACUUCUACCACAUCAGCUCCUCAAGCUCCUAGGAUUCUAAGAUACGCAGCAGACGACACUCUAGAGUCUGGUCUUGCUACAUAGGAAUCGGCUCUAGCUCGAUUUGAUGGUCUGGAUUCCGCAAAUAAUUCCUCCACAUAAAUACAUGGAAUACAUGGUGUACUCUGAUCAUAGAUUCUGACAAUUGCAUGUGCUAAGCCCAGCUGCCAACUCGGCUAAGAUAGUAGACGGUCCUAUAUACCUCGAACAAAGCUUUCCUGACACCAAAUCAAUCAUUGACAUAUGCAAGUACUUCAAGGAAUGUAUAUAUGAAUGCACUGCAUAUAGUGUUCCUAUAGCCUAAACCAAACUUAGCCAAACAAGAGCAACUUCAAGAGAGCAACUUAAUGCUUGCAUAUUUCUGGAUAGCAGCACAACGGUUAAUUGUUUUGUUCAUAACUCAUAAAAUAAGCAUCCAAAAAUAAUAAACUAGGACUUUAUGGAAAGCUUAUAAAGUCCACUAUACCCUUGGUAUUAUCUUCACAGCAAGAUUUGACACUUAGAAAGGUCAAACAAUGCUAAACGUAAAUUCUGUCCAGACUUGGACAGAAUUCAACUACUCAAUUCAAAAAUCCAUAAUUGGAGUCUCAGUCAUCCAAUUCAGGUGCUCCCAGACUUUUUAGAAAGCUAGUAGAAUUGUCUAUAAUUCAUUUAUAAACAUAUCAGGUUAAUUCAAUGCAUAUCAAGGUCAAAAGACAUGAGAAAGGCACUGCUGUCCAAAUUUAGACAGAUUCAGAGAUCACACUUAAAACAGCUGUAACUUUACUUAUAGAUCUCCAAAAAGGGUGAUCCAAAAUUUGUUGAAAAUAUUAAGAAAGAUACUACAACUUCUUUAUAAUUUAUAAUAAGUUAUUUGAAAUUUAAAUUGGGAAAACAAGGUCAGUUUCGAAAUCUGUACAGAAUCUGCACAGAUUCCAAGACUGGACUUGAGAAAAUCAUAACUCUCAAACUACUAGACCUAUGGUCAUGAAAUUUUUACACAAGUAAGAUAAAGAAGUCGGCUACAACAUUUAUAUAUAACAUCUCUACAGAAAAGAUGGUUUACUUCAUUGAACUAGCUGCAUAACUAAAACUAGUCAUGCAGUCCCAACAACAAGCAAUAGAUUUUAUUCAGGUUCAUUACUCUUCUAAGAUUAAGCGUUCAUCGAAAGACUAAGGCAUGUUUGGUUUGUGGCUAAAUGUGCCACACUUUGCCUAAGGUUAGUCAUCCAAAUUGAAUAACUAACCUUAGGCAAAAAAGUUAGGCAAAGUGUGGCAAUUGAGGUAAGGAACCAAACAUGCCCUAAUAACUUUAGGUUCCUCAUUACGAGAUACUUAGAACAAAUAUAAGUAUAGAAGCAAUAUGAUAACUUUUUAAACCAUUUAAGCCUAAUCUCACAUCAUGCAAACAGGAAUCUGUUUAAGCAUGUUAGGCCUGCCUACAUAUUCAUCCAAGCACAUUCUAUACAUUAUAUCAUCCCAUAUAGGAACUCUCUUUUUUUUAAUUAUACUAUACAUAUAUAUCUAACAAAUAACUCAGACAAAUUGCAUCUCAACCUAGACUUCUCAUGACGUAACUAUUUCAUACUUACGCAAUCACGCCAAUAUAAGAAAACGUGGCUUCACAACAAUACGUACUGGCCUAUUCAAACGUUCCUUGCUAUCUCUGUGUUUCAGCCCACGCUCCACAUAUACAUAAACAAGAUAAUCAUCCCAAUCACUACGUCUAUUCCCUCCCACCAUACAACUUAAUUAACAUGGAUUGCGAAAGAGCUCACCACAACUAAACCAAACUCCCAUGAAAAAAAUCACUAAGUAGAAAAUUGACAAUCAAUAGCACAAAUGUUCAUUUUUUUCUACCUCUCACUAUAAAAGCAAUGGUAACAAUGAAAUAUUGUAAAAUCAUCUAAACUUCAUGAUCUACAACUUUCGUAUUCAAAGGAUAAACAACAAUUUUUUUUUCAUCUACCAUUUUUAAUUUGACUUGUAAGGCGACAUACAUGAUCUGCCACCAGAAACUGACAAAACAUGACACAUAAAUUCAAAAUAUCAUAACUCCCUGCAGCUUAACAAAAUUUUGCAAAUAUAAGCCCAUUGAAAAGAUUAUAACAUUCUGUAAAACUUUUAUUAUAAUGAGUGUCUCGAAAUUGGUUUUCAAACCGAUAAAAUAAUGCAACUCUUUUGUUGCAAAACUGAUAGGAUGGAAACAAUGGACAACUAAAAUUCAAAAACCUAUAACUCCUCCUAUACUCAACUUAAAACUACAACGAACACGCGUUGGAAAAGUUUGAAAAUCGUCCACGCCUUUUGCAAUAAAGUUGCACCCAAAUUUAUCUUUAUAGCCCUCAACUCUGCAUGACCUACAGCUAAACUCAGCCCGAGAUACUGCACAUUGGAGAUUCGACUUAUAACCGGAUAACCACCUCUCCCAAUCUAUUUAACAGACAAUUACAAGUAAAUACCCAUUUAAAAGGUACUGAGAAGAACUAAAGUUUUUAUUAAAGAGAAUUCCCAAAUUUGGGCUAUGAAACUAUCAAAACACGGUCGAUUUAUUGGUGGUUAUAACGACACCUAAAGUUCAGACACAACGGUGCAACAACUUCAGAGCAGCCUAACUCCAAUUAUAUACAAUGAAAAUUACAAACCAAUACUCUUUGGAAAGAUCAUGAAAUUACUAAAACUUUCAUAAUCCAACAAAGACCAAAUUAUACCAUCUUCAAGGUCUAUUCUUCCGUACAAAAUUAAGGCUGCUAUAGGAAACCCAUAACUCUCAAAUGUUUAGACCAAACUGGGUGAUUAAGCAUCAUAUGCAAACAUGAAGAAACCUACUACAAAACAUUCUAGAUAAGUGAAGCCUGAUUCAGCCUCCAACUAAUUUAAAAUGACUCCCAAAACCAAGCAACACCUUAACCACAAUAAAAAAACAAUAUAAAAUGAAACCCAAGGCAUUGGCAGGUGCAAUCAACACUAGGAUUUCCCACUACCAAAUGGGGAUGCAACUCCCCAAAGUCUUUAAACAACAGUUUACCUAAUAGGUUAGAACACUAAGCAUAACAAUCAACGAAUUCAACAACCUCGUUUGUUAAUGCCACUAAGGUCAAACAUCCACGUAGCGACAAUGUAUGAAACACCUGACAUACCCGUCUCUAGCACUAUAAAACAUGGUUGUUAUUACACUAGAAUUCAACUACUAGAGACCUCCACAACUAUUCUGUUGACGUGAAGCAAAUGGUGCUCAUGUCAUAUAACGUCUUUUUCUCCUCUCAAAAAAGAUAAAAUUUGCAACACUCAUAAAGCAAUGGAGGGAUAACAACAAGAAAAACUAAUGUACUUCUUGACACAGACUCAUGCAAAAGCUUCAUAAAUAUUACUUUCAAUACUAAAAUAAUAACAUGAUACUAUGCUCAACAUGAGUAAUUGGACGUCAAUAAGACAAUCCACAUAACCAAACUACCUUGAUUAAUCUCACAUACAACAAAACCUACUAUUACUGCACUAGAACAAUUUGUACCUCGUGAUAUCACAGGAUGCAUUCAAAGUAGUACAAUGUUGGCAAAUAAAAAUAAAAAAUAAUAUAAAAUGGGUUGUCAAUAUCGCCCACAUGACUAGCCUGCAACAACUAAAAAUUAUGCAUAGCCUUUAUGGCUAUUGAAACAAGCCAUAGAAGGAAAACAUGCAUGACAUAAAAUCCACUUGAAACCACCCUAUUUAUUGUUAAAAAUAAGGUUGCACAUAAUAAGAAAACCUAUCAGGUAGACAUGGUUGGACUUAUCAAUCUACGUCAUCUCACAAAUUCACUCGAGUUCUACCAGUCUAAAUAUUUCAUAGACAUUACAACGUUGCCUCUGCUCUAUAGAGACAAACCAAUUUUAUACUAAGAUCAAGUUAGCAAGUAGCCACACUAGCCUAAAAAAAAGUGAGGCGCAAAGCAUUGCCUCCAUGGAAAUAUUACAUUGAUAAGUUGGGUUGUAGCCCAACAUUCAAUCAGACCCAACAACAUGAUAAAACUACAUUAUAUAGUGUUUCCACACCACACCAAGCCGGAUUAGACCCACUAUACACAGACUCAAUAAACAAUCGGUCCUACAAGUACUAGAACCCCAAAAAAUCCAUUUAAAAAAACAACCACAAUCAAGCAUAUAGAAAUAUAUGAUAGUAAUAGCUCAAAGAUUUGAAAAACAUCGCAUAAAAAAACAUCACGACAAUAUGUAUAUAAAACAAGUACAUUAGUAGCUUCACUUGCAUAAUAACUUCAAUAACAACCACAUCAAGAAACCAAUAUUAAUUAGAAGUAACAUAUCAUAUCAAACAUUAAGUCGUUAACGACAUACCCCAUCAAACCAUAAAGGGAUUCGGGGUAAGGGAAUUCUAGUCAUCUAUACAAUAAAAUACUAAUAUGAAAGAUAUACGAACCCAUACCCUUCCUAUAUGUGCAAGUGUGUCAAAUUUAUCUUCAAAUUGCGUAGAAUCUAAAGCCUAUCCUUUGAUACCAACUGUAACACCCCGGGAUCCACAAACACCCCGGAAUGCUACUGAACUACACUUCUAACAUCCGUAUAUAAAAUUUCGGCAGCAUCUCCCUUGCAAAAUUGCAUAAAUGGGGGGGGGCAACAGUGUAUAAACAUAUAUCAUGACAAAAAAACAUACUAAGUAAUAUUAAUCGGCUAGCAACGAGAAGUUAAACAUACGACAAGAGCUGAAUUAACCAGCGCGCACGACUAGUUAAGAAAAACAAACAUCCUUUGACACAAGUUUCUAAUUAUAUCCUGGCUGCGCCUGGCAGCCUUAUUAUGAGAGUGAAAGUGGACGUGCUGCUACUCCCCUCAUUCCCAACAUGUAUCAAGUACCUGCAUUGAGUAAUGCAAGAGUGAGAUGACAGAUCUCAGCAAGCAAAAUAAUAACAAACUGUUUAACCACAUAAGAACAUUGUUUUACCACCAUUUGAUUUUACAACCUCCUUAUUACGUAGGUGCAGCACGAAUACAAUGUACAACACACCUAGUUACCACACCUCGCAGGUAGAAACCACAAUAGUAACAUAGUAAUGUCACACUUCAUGUAUACCUCAUGAGUGCAAAUGUCUGCAAAUGCAAGGAUGACUUCUGCCUUCAUACCUCUAAGGAUAUGAAGCCGCAUCGUACCCCUCCUCGGGCAACGUACGAUGCUAAAAGUGUACCGGUACGGUCGGACCAUAAGAUCACGACAUAACUUCAAAAUGCAAGAUGGAUGAUGCGAUGUGCAUGUCAUGCCUACAACACUUCCUAUAACGUGAUUCAAAAAGAUACUUCAACUUUAUCCAAGAUGGGAAUCAACCACAUAUAUCAUUACCAAAUUAUGAUCAUCCACAAUAUUAGACAACUGAGAAUUAAUACUUCCAAACAAAUAAACUUCAUCAUAGAAUUCAAUGAUUAACAUAAUUAAAACUUAUGCAUACUCAAUGACAGGGAAUAGGAUGCAAACCAAACGGUAGCAACCACCACUGUAUUUACUUGCCUUUACCGGACGUUUGGGCAAAUCUCUAAGUACGAUCCGGAAGUCCACCACCUGUUUUUGACACACAACUUAGUGCGCCAAUUUUACACAAUCAGGCUCAUAAACGAUGCCGCACCUACGCACAAACUCAAACCCCGCCGCGGGUUACAUCUCUCCCCACACCCACCAAACUGCAGCGGCGCUGCUUAAUAAUUUCAUAACUUUAAAAUUAUGACAGCAGUGGUAACAAACAAAAACUCCAGAGGCAUCUACAUAAAAUUCCCCACAAGUUUUGUAUACAAUUUUUAAUUAAAUUCCAAAAACUAAUUAGCCCAAAACAGUCCACAAGGUGAACCCUGUAAUCUGUUUUUUUGUCUUUUGGACAGCGACAUACCCGGAUUCAAACAGCGAUAUCUUUUAAAAUAUAAUUCCAAAUCAAGCGCAUAAGUACUCAUUGGAAAGAUAAGACAAAGCCCUACAUGAUUAUCAUACUGGUUAAAACUAAGUACCCACGAAAAAUUCCCAGAAACUGCUAAUACUACUGCUGUUCACCCACCUGAAAAAUCUGUUUUUUGGACAGCAACAUAACCGGAUUCAAACAACGAUAUCUCCUAAAUUAUAACUCUGAAUAAAGCGCAUAAGUACUCGUUGGAAAGGUAUGACAAAACUCUACAUGAUUCUCCCACUGAUCCCCACUAAUUGCCCACGAAAAAUUCCCAGAAAUCCCUAGAACUACUGCUAUUCGCCCUCCCACAAAAAUUCUGGACAGCACCUCUACCGAUUCGCAUAGAUAAACAUAUAAUCAAUUGAAUUUUAGCGCAAAAACAUAGAUAACUUCAAGAUCACCUUGAGUUCCACCUUUUUCCUCCUUCCUUCCUCCCACCAAUUCUCCAAUUGAAACUUGCACCCACACAAAGAAGAUCCGACGAGGAAGAACGACACUUGGAGAAGAGGAGAUGGGGGGUGGCGGCUAGGGUUGAGGAGAUGGCUGCUGCAAAAAACUUGAGAAUGGAGAGGGGGCAGCUGCAACACUUGGGGAAGAGAGAAGAGGGAAGAGGGAAGAGGGUGACGGCCAAAGGAGGGAAAGGGGGAGGCGGCUGCCCUCAAGGGGCCUUAAGAGAGGGGCGGCUAGGGUUUUGGGGGGGAAAGUGGGCUUCCCACCGCCGGAUCACGAUCAACGGCCUAAAACCAUUCCUACGCCAGAGCUCUCGACCCCCGCGCACACAUCAAACAUAAAUUUUACUGUUUUACAGAUGUUUACCUCCUAAAAUUCCAAACCCCCCAUAGCACGGGACCCGCAAGAGAAAACAAAGAAAAAAAAGAGAAACUUCAAUUUCUCUUCUUUUUUGAAAAUUGGGUAUCACAAUGAUGCCCUUGGUGCGAGGAGAGUGUGGCAUAUUACGAGAAGCAUCAUCAACCUCCAAUCCUGCCAUGGUUAGACGAACAGAGGCAACAAGAUAAAAAAAGUGAAGGAAUAAAAACUCUACAACUAUUAGGAUGUAGCUACUGCAAGGCGCUCACUCUCAACCUGCCACACAAGCUCUUACCAAUUCUUACCUUGCUCAACAGGAGGGGUCAGCAACCAACAAGUCUGCAACCAUGGAAUAAGUGUAUCGGUGCUGCAGCAACACGACCUGUCAAACUGUAGUCGAAAUAUGUAGAGUUGUAGGUGGGCAGAAGCAAGGAAUACACUAGUACCCCGUUAGUUACAAAAGCAAGCUGAAUAAUCGUUCAACUGUGGUACUGUGCUGGUCCUAGGCUAAACCAUGCUAGAGACGUGAGCCUAGGCACAAAGGUAGUCACUGGAAAAGAACAACUAGCACAGCACAAAGAGAAACAACAGUUUUAGAGAUUCAGCCCCCUCUUUCUUCUUCUUUUCCUUCUUUUUUUUGCAGGGGCCUAAACCCUUUUUUUACUAUGACAACCCAAACAAUAAGGAUAUUGCUAACAAACCCUUUAAAUCAGAUUUAACAAAUCUUGUUAAUAUAGAAAGUCCAGAAAUCUCUACGAUGAUUGCGGAGCGCUCAGAAUGAAUUUUGAGGCAAGGUCAGAUCCGUUGGAAAGACGAUAAGAUAAGCUUUCCAGAUUGUAAUUA